GGCACUACAGAGAAGUGGUUAACGCGACGCCCUGAUAUUUACUCACUGGGUAUAGGAAUAGCCAGACAUUUCCUUCGGGAGCCAGAGUUCGAAUCUCUGUGGUGUCG